GAUCAACUCGUGAACUUGUUUGAAUACGUUGGGACGGCCGUAGGUGUUUAACUCCUCGACCUCCCUUGGGUUGGGAGGGGCUGCCGCUUUGUGCGCUCCCCUCCCAACCAAACCCAAACCCCGGCACAAAAUGUGCCAAGGAACCAAAAUUAUUCCACUGCCCCCCCGUUGGCACCGGAGACGGUGCCCUCGCGGGACGUGUGAUGCAUGAUAAUAUAUAAACGACUCUCGGCAACGGAUAUCUAGGCUCUUGCAUCGAUGAAGAACGUAGCGAAAUGCGAUACUUGGUGUGAAUUGCAGAAUCCCGUGAACCAUCGAGUUUUUGAACGCAAGUUGCGCCCAAAGCCAUUAGGUUGAGGGCACGUCUGCCUGGGCGUCACAUAUCGUUGCCCUGUGCCCCAUGCCUAUUGAGAGGCACCGUGCAGGGCGAAUGUUGGCUUCCCGUGAGCUCUUUUGCCCACGGUGGCUGAAAACUGAGUCCUUGGUAGGGUGUGUGCCAUGAUAGAUGGUGGUUGUGUGACCCACGAGACCGUUCAUGUGCAGCUCUACCAGAUU
rnacentral:rRNA from 1 species